UCAAUUCUUUGUCCAUUGUAGUCUUUUAGUAGCACUUUCUUGUUGAUAAUCUUGGGCUUUUCCUUCAUGGCACCUAUUUCCGCCACGCUGAUGAGAUUUGCUUGUGCCCCGGUGUCAAUCCUCAGUGCCACUUGUGCUCCAUUAAUUGGUAGGGACACUAUCCAUGUAUCUUCAUUUUCUUUGCAUGUGUUAUUUUCUACAUUGUCUGUGUCACGAUGCACCAUGCCUACAAAAAAUGUCUCACUUAGGUCAGGUUCUUCAACUAGUCUCACUGAUCUAGAUUUUGCUUUUGAUAGACACUGCUUGGCAAAGUGAUUCUUUCCAUUACCUUUUGCACACUUUUUGCCAUAAGCAGGGCACUGCCUGGGCUCAUGUUUAGAACCACAAUGUUUGCAUGAAAAUGUAUUUUCUGAGGUUUUGUCUUGCAUCACAUUUCUCUUAGUUUUGUUUUUGACAACCGCUAUUUUGGCGCCUUCUUGAGGACUUGACGCAUUGAAGGUCUUGGCGUGGUGUUGAGCUAGCUCUGUAGCAUGACACAUCCUUUCUGCCUCCUCCAAAGUGAGCUUAGCCUCUCUAAGUAGCCUUUCUCUCGUCCUCUUCUCGUAUAUACCAUACACGAUUUGGUCACGAAUCAUUGAGUCUUUAAGAUCACCAAACUCACAUGACUGGGCUUUUAGCUUCAAAUCUGUGAUAAAGCUAUCAAAAGUUUCUUCCUGCUGUUGCACACGUGACCUAAACACGUACCUCUCAUAUACGUGUUCUUCUGCGGUGAGCAAUGAGCAUCAAACUUUCCAAUAACUUUAGUAUAGUCCUUGUUGUCGUCAGCUUGAUCAAAUUCAAAAGUGUUGAAGACUUCAAUGGCUUGAGGACCAGCGACAGUGAGUAGAAGCGCGAUCUUCCUGGCGUGGGAGCUUGCCUCCAAUCCCAAAGCACCUAGGUAUACCUCGAACUGCUGCUUAAAAGACCGCCAGUUGGCAUCCACAUUACCGACAAGUUUGAGUCCUUCCGGUGGCCUUAGCGUCUCCAUCUUGAAAAAAAACGCUGCACGACUUGGUAUUCACUACAGGUACCAUGUGUUGUUCAUCUUU